GGGGCAAACCGGAAAUGGAGUCUCCCUUCCAACAGCUGGUGGAAGCAGGUGCCAUCGCCACGGAUAAAGUGACAAACAAUCUUCUUCGGAGGACGGUACUGCUGGUUGGACUCGCAGGCACGCGUCUGCGCCUGCGCCGCCGUGACGAGGCUGUCGGCGGCCUGCUUGAGGCUGACGCACGCCUCGGUGCGGUGGUCGGCCUGAGUCAGGUUGUGCUGCAACGCCUCCGCCAGCUCUGAGGACACAUGAUGACAAAGCACGUUUCUGCAGGAUGUUCUAAGGCAGGGGUCCCCAAACUACGGCCCACGGGCCAGAUACGGCCCGCCAGCGUCCAAAAUGACCUGGCCUGCUGGACUGGACUAAACAGACUCGGUACGGAGGGGUUCUCACCAGACUGGGCUGGCACCGGAGCGGCCCAAGUUGACACUCCUGGCGGCAGCGGGCCGAGCCCUUCAGGUCCGGAGACGUGGACCACACCACGAUGACCACCAGCGAGACGACGGACCACAGCGCCAACAGCGCCAGCGCCACCUUGGUGCAGCUCCCCGACGACUUGGACGACGUCGCCAUGACGAUGAGCGGUGAGUCUGAGCGAGUCUUUCCCUCCGCGCCGAGCAGCUAUGUGGGCACUGACCCCGCCCCCCCCCGACCACACCCUCGUCCCCCCUCCUGCAGCGCACAUGGAAAACUUUGAUGCACGUGUCAAGUAUGUAAGGGAGCAGCUCUUUUGGACUAGACCUGAUCCAACACUGCCUGUAGGACUAGGUCUAGGACUAAGAUAAAACUCUGCUUUACUUUCGACUUGAAUGUGUGCGUGUGUGUGUGUGCGUGCGUUUGUGUGUGUGUGGAAAGUAUUUGACAGUUCACAUUCUUGCCUGGAAGCCAAGGAAAAAAGAAAAAAACCCUCCAGAAACAAUUUUAGAACAACUAUGUUGAGGGUGAAAGGUCAAGCAGUUCCUUCUGAACACAACUUUAAAUGUUGAAGCGAGGACUUUUUCAUGACCAAUACUGUUGUUACCAGCCUUCUUUUCUCCUUCCUGCAGUAACAAUGUAAUCGUGUACAGCACGUUGCCUCGUACAGAUAUUAAAGCCGCACCAUGUUCAAACUGCAGCAAAUAUUCUGCUCCCCUGAAGUAAGAAAUGAAGUCUCCCGCAACACGACUCAAGUUAUGCAACACUGCUGCUACUGCUGCUUUCUUUCAACUUUACACGCACAUAACUUCCAACAGCACUUCUGAUUGGUCAACAGACCCACAGGCACCUUUUUCAAAGAUUCAAAAUAUGAUUACAAAAACUUUCAAGUUUAAAUCUGAGUUUUUUUUGUUCAAGCUCAUAUCUCUCUUGGUUUUAAAACGUAAGAAUGGUGUCACUUUGGCGCCCUCGUGAGGCUAUAACAUGUAAUUACUCCAUAUGUCACUCUAUAACAUGUAUAACAUGUUACUAUAACAUGUAAUUACUCCACAUGUCACUCAGUUCCUGUCAAUGAGAGAGGAAGAAAAAGGCUCCGCUUCUGCUACCGGAGUUUUUGUUAAGUCUGAAGAUUUUGACCACUGAUUUGCGAUCACAGCCACAGGAGAGUCACCUGGCAUCUUCGAUCUGAUUUUGGUCAGUUGAGAGGCACUGAUACGCUGAAAUAAGGCGAGUUGGAAGAGCCGUUAGCCUAGCUAAGAGAGCACGGACACAGAGCAGGAAUGUCAUUGUUUUGACUGCUCGAAGAAAAACAACAUCUUAAUCUACGAUUUGAUUCCUUCGAAUGGCCUUGAUGCCUAGAUGGCAGCUCCCGCCAUCAGUGUGUGAAUGUGUGUGUGAAUGGGUGAAUGUGGAAAUACUGUCAAAGCGCUUUGAGUACCUUGAAGGUAGAAAAGCGCUAUACAAGUAUAACCCAUUCAUCAUUUAUUAUCAUUAUCAUUUAACCAAAAGCUACGGCGAGUUUACAGCUGUUUUAAAGUGAUUCCGACGCCGCAGAGUGAUAUAAGUUGACAGGCUGACACCUCAAAUUGAUCUCUGAACGGCGCAAGAGGCACUGACGUCAGCGACUGCCGCGAUGCGAAAAGGUAAAGGAAAGACUGAAAUCCCGAAACCUUCGGGGUCAACUGACACAGGACACAAAUGGGAACAAGAUUUGAGGCUGGACACAGGACAUGAUGGGAAUCAAGAAGGGAUACUACAAAAACUAUUCCAUGAAUUUAAAGAAGAAAUUAUAGAAAAAUGGAAAGAAAUGAUGAAUGGAUGGAAAGAUGAUAUGAAAGAAGAAAUGAAAAAAGACCUGAGAAAAGCAACAACAGAACACAAACAAGAUGUGAAAAGUCUGCAGCUAAAUAUAGAAAGUCUGCAAACUCAGAACAACUCCAGAAAUAAUGAAGCCACUGAAAUGAGCAAACAAAUGAAGACCCUUCAAGAAGACAACAACAUGCUGAGGAAUAUCAUAGAUGAAAUGGAUCAGGAUAAACGAAUGAAUGAUAUCAUCGUGACAGGGCACCGAAUUAAACCAAGAUCCUAUGCGAAAGCUGUGAAUAAUGAAGGUGAACCAGUGAAAUGGAUAUGGUCUCAGCAGAACAGCAAGUGGUCAACUUUCUGCAAUCAAAAGAAAUUGAAAUUGACAUUAAUACCAUGGAAACAUGCAUCCCACUGAACGGAAGAAACAACAACGCCACUCCAGUCGUGCUCGUGAAACUCGUAAACAGAAAAUCUAAAAUGGCACUGCUGAGACAGGGAAAGAAGCUGAAGGGAACAAAUGUGUACAUGAAUGAGCAUCUCACAAAACGUAAUACUGGAAUCGCCAAGAAAGCACGCGACUUGAGGAAGCAGGGAAAAAUCCAGGGAACUUGGAGCGCCAAUUGUAAAAUCUACAUCAAGCUGAAUGGAGGUCCAGAAGCAAGAGUACUUGCUGUCCAUGACAGCAAGGACCUGGACAAUUUUUAAAGUUUACACAGCUACCACAACAACGAUGAUAAUGGACUCUGACAGAAAACAAGAACCUAAAUUCAGCAUCGACACUACUAUGUUCCAAGAGACGACUAAACAAGAGGACCUAGAUUCAGGAUUGCAUCCACCUACACUUAUAGAGAUUAUUGAAAAAACAUCAAAGAUUGUUGAACAAGAAAAUAUGGAACUAAAAAAUUUCUGCAACAAAGAUCACAAAAAACAGGAUUUGGAAAAUGAUAUAGAUCCAGAUACAAAUUUUUUCUCCCACAUUAGUAAUAGUUGUUUUUAUUAUACAGAUGAACAAUAUAAUAGCAACAUUAAAUGUGAUAACAAAUUGUCAAUUAUUCAUAGCAGAAGCUUGUAUGCAAACUACAACAAUAUUAAGAACUUUUUGGAACACAUCAACGAACCCUUCAAAGUGAUUGCUGUCACAGAAACAUGGAUUGAUGAUAAAAAAGGAAUAGAUUUUGAUCUGGAAGGAUAUGAACUAAACUACAUCAACAGAACCAACAAAAAUGGAGGAGGAGUAGCUUUGUACAUGAUGAAGAACCUGAACUACAAAGUGGUAAAAAAAACAUGUCAUUUGCUAUAGAUAAUAUCUUAGAAUGUAUAACCAUUGAAAUAUGUCAGGAAAAAUUCAAAAACAUAUUCAUCAGUUGUAUAUAUAGAUCACCUAAGUCAAGUAUAGAAACAUUAUUGUGAUUACCGGUACUUAUGGAGUAUAUUGUGAAUAAAUUGAGAACAGGAAGUGAACAAAAGUUUUAGCAACUGUUAUGUAAAGGAAACGGGGUAGGAUUAAAUAAGCUAUGCUUCUUCCUACUCCUUUUCGAACAUGUUGAAAAGAGAAACUGUAAAUUGUGAUGUAUCAUGUUGUAUGCUUGCAUGUUCGAAAUAAACUCAAACUCAAACUGGUGAUCAUGUGCUCACUGUUUAAAAACUUUUUUUUUUUUUUUAAAUUGAGCAAUUAUUCAUGCAAAUACAAAAAGCAACUUUCAAGUAGCAAUGUUGGACAGAUCACAGGACAAGCGAUUUACAAUCUAAAUACAGGAAAUUAUACUAAAUAUUAAGAGUGAAUAGAGUACGGUAAAUAGUAUUUUCUGAAUAAAUCUUUUGAAAAUGUUAGAAGAAAUUGAGUUUACGCGGAAAAAAUCUCGUCCUUUGAUUAAAAAAUCUUUGUCACAAAAGAACAUCAAUAAUCAGUUAUAUCAUAUUUUAAAAAUAUGCAUAAUGUUAAACAACUUGAUUCAAUGUUAAUGGUUUAGUUCAGUGUUUCCUAACCAUAGGGCCCAUUGUAAAAAUGUGUCAGCUGUUGUCUGUAUGUAAUACACUUUUCCACCACUUGUGGCAGUGAUUGAUUGAUUGAUUGAUUGACAAUGACAAUUGUCAAACAAAAGGAGUCUUGAGCUAAAGUCAUUGAGAAGUUUCCUUAGCAAAAAUAUCAUGACUAAAGUGGUGAAUCUGUUAUUUCCAUUUGUACUUUAAUUGUAUUGGCAGUUUAGUUAGGAGUCUGUGACCCCUCCUCAAGAUUUCUUCUUUUUUCCCCAUCUCAGGUUUUUGAAGUUUUUCCUUGCCCAAAUGUUUGUUCAGAUGAAGGGAUGUCAUUGAGGCACCUGUGAUUGAUUAAUUGAAAAAAACAUAUUCUUAAUUUAGUUUAUUUGGCAACACUAAAUGGUCCCUAGUGUGUGAAUGUUGUCUGUCUAUCUGUGUUGGCCCUGCGAUGAAGUGGCGACUUGUCCAGGGUGUACCCCGCCUACCACCCGAAUGCAGCUGAGAUAGGCUCCAGCAACCCCAAAAGGGACAAGCGGUAGAAAAUGGAUGGAUGGAUAGUUUAUUUUAGUACAACAUAAUUGAACGUGAAAACCAUUUUCGAGUGGCUUCUUGUGCAACAUAUUUGGUUAGUGUUUAUAUUUCCAACCAGCCUGACCUAAGUCUAAGGUUUAUGUGUUAAAUAAAUAAUAAUCUGGCUUCAUAUCAUUUGACACGGUUAUAAACUUGAAGUAGGUUAGAUAUAUACGAUUAAAUUCAAGAUUGUGAAGAAAUAUUAUACUUUCUGAUUUUCUAACUUUUCAUAAAGCAAACAAAACAUUUUGUUUGAGUGAUCACGAAGUUUAUGGACACUCACCAUGAAUAUCAUAUUCAUCAUUAUAAUAUAUUUCAUAUCCAAAGAAGUUUACACUCUUUAUAAAUGUUUGUUGUAACAACAUCUAAACACGUUUACAAUCACUCGCCAUGAAUAUUAAUUUUCAUAACAUAUUUAACAACUUUGUAAACAACUUCACUAUGUAGACUCUUCAUAUUUAAUAACAUAUUCUACACAAGUUUACAUUCUUCAUGACUAUUUAUUUUCAUAACAUUUUAUAUCCUCUACACCAGGGGUCACCAACGAGGUGCCCGCAGGCACCAGGUAGCCCGUAAGGACCAGAUGAGUAGCCCGCUGGCCUGUUCUAAAAAUAGCUCAAAUAGCAGCCUCUAUUUUUUUAAUUUUAUUUAUUUACUAGCAAGCUGGUCUCUCUUUGCUCGACAUUUUUAAUUCUAAGAGAGACGAAACCCAAAUAGAAUUUGAAAAUCCAAGAAAAUAUUUUAAAGACUUGGUCUUCACUUGUUUAAAUAAAUUCAUUAAUUUUUUUACUUUGCUUCUUAUAACUUUCAGAAAGACAAUUUUAGAGAAAAAAUACCUUAAAAAUGAUUUUAGGAUUUUUAAACACAUAUACAUUUUUACCUUUUUAAAUUCAUUCCUCUUCUUUCCUGACAAUUUAAAUCAAUGUUCAAGUUAAUUUAUUUUUUUUAUUGUAAAGAAUAAUAAAUACAUUUUAAUUUAAUUCUUCAUUUUAGCUUCUGUUUUUUCGACGAAGAAUAUUUGGGAAAUAUUUCUUCAAACUUAUUGUGAUUAAAAUUCAAAAAAAUUAUUCUGGCAAAUCUAGAAAAUCUGUAGAAUCAAAUUUAAAUCUUAUUUCAAAGUCUUUUGAAUUUCUUUUAAAAUUUUUGUCCUGGAAAAUCUAGAAGAAAUAAUGAUUUGUCUUUGUUAGAAAUAUAGCUUGGUCCAAUUUGUUAUAUAUUCUAACAAAGUGCAGAUUGGAUUUUAACCUAUUUAAAACAUGUCAUCAACAUUCUAAAAUUAAUCUUAUUCAGGAAAAAUUACUAAUGAUGUUCCAUAAAUUAUUUUAUUAAUUUUUUCAAAAAGAUUCGAAUUAGCUAGUUUUUCUCUUCUUUUUUUCGGUUGAAUUUUGAAUUUUAAAGAGUUGAAAUUGAAGAUAAACUAUGUUUCAAAAUGUAAUUGUCAUUUUUUUCGUGUUUUCUCCUCUUUUAAACCGUUCAAUUAAGUGUAAAUAUCAUUAAUUAUUAAUAAUAACAUAGAGUUAAAGGUAAAUUGAGCAAAUUGUAUCAAACUGGUAGCCCUUCGCAUUAAUCUGUACCCAAGAAGUAGCUCUUGGUUUCAAAAAGGUUGGCGACCCCUGCUCUACACACAUUUAUGUACACAUCAUUAAAAUGAUACUCUCUUCAGUGUUAAUAUAUGAGUAGUAGUGGAAAAGUUAGGCCCUGAAGUCUAAAAGGUUAGGGAACCCUUGGUUUAGUUUGUUUAUAUUGAAAAUGUCUCAUGUUUGAAAAAGACCAAAGUAUGAAAAAAAGCAUUAGUCCUUUUAGUUUUGUUAGUCCGCUCUCUGCUGGAGCUCAGGAGAACUGCAUGAAUGACUAAUUCUGACAAAUUCUUUUUUAAUGAACGAUAGAGGCUCUUGGCUCCGCCCCCUUAUUUGGCCACACCCUCGGCUCACCUUUCAUCCCGCCUGUGUAUAGAAUAUGUUUAACGUCUUCAUCAGUCUAAGACAAAACAACACUUCCUGUUUCCUGUUUUUCUCCUCUCCAUCGUCACGCUCCGACGAGGAAGGGACGCUCUUUCAACGGACUGCAACACAGACGACAGGCUUUUGGCUGGUGAAGGUCAGAGAGUUCUAUUGACUUUUUAAAUAGGACCAAGCGCUACAUCGUGGUUGUGAGGAAGAGAAAGUAAGGCUGACUGACCUCUGGCCCUGACGCCACCACCAUGGACACGCCCCUCGUCCUGCUGCCGCUGCUACUGUGGUGAAAAAGUCGUCCAAAGGAAAAGUCCGAUUUUUGUUUUGUUUUAAUGAGUCGCUUAUCAUCUUCUCAUCUUACAGGUUGUCCAGCGCGCACACGGGCCGACGCGGCGCCGCGGUCUUUAGUGACCAGACCCGGCUGAUAGUGGACGUGGACGAGGACCCAGGUUCUGGUCCCUCCAUUGACAUUCUGGCCCCCAUCCCAUUCGCCAGCGGUCCACAACCUCGCCGCCUGCUG